ensembl:ribozyme RNaseP_nuc Nuclear RNase P
GGCGGAGGGAAGCUCAUCAGUGGGGCUACGAACUGAGUGCGUUGCGUCACUCUACCCCAUGUCCCUUGGGAAGGUCUGAGACUAGGGCCAAAUAGCGGCCCUAACAGGGCCCUCCCUGAACCGCGGGGAGGUGAGUUCCCAGAGAACGGGGCUCCGCGCGAGGGCAGACUGGGCAGGAGAUGCCGAGGACCUCACCCUCGGGGUGGGGCCCGGCGGAUGCCUCCUUAGCCGGAGCUUGGAACAGACUCACGGCCAGCCAAGUGAGUUCAAUGGCUGAGGUGAGGUACCCCCGCAAACGGGGACCUCAUAACCUAAUUCAGACUACUCUCCCCCGUC